AGCUUGUCCAGCUUGUAACUGGACUCUCUCCAAUCCUUUGUAAGGUUGGCUAAACUAUUUGAAAUUAACUGUAAGGUAUCAUGCGACAGAAAUACUAGUUUCGACAACAAGUCAAAAGUGGAAGAUGAAGUUAUAGGACUCAUCAUAAAUUUGGAAUAUUGUGCAGAGGAGCUAUAUAUAAGGGAAGAAAGAUGCUACACUGAAACUUCUUCUAGAUCAAGGAUGAUGUUGAUUGGUCCUCAGUUAUGAUAUCCUAGGCACUGGGCUGCAA
rnacentral:lncRNA from 1 species